GCUAGAUAGUUUAGAUGGUAAAGCACUCGUCUAGGAUACAAGAGUCCUGGAUUCGAAUUCUAGACGAGGACG
rnacentral:tRNA from 1 species